UCACAAUUCAAAAUUUUUUUGUCACAAUUUGUUCAUCGAUCACAAGUAAAAAAUUUAUAAGUCAUGAUUUAUUGAUCAUAGAUUAACCAAUUUAAUGAUCACAAUCAACCAAAUCAUUUGUGACCACCACUCGUGACCGCCACCUCACAACUAGACCAACCGCAUCACUACCAAAAUCGCAGCCACCAGAACCACCACUGCACCCUAAUCCAACCCUAGCAAGCAAUAAUUGAAAUUACUAAUUAAAUACAAUAAUCAUAGAGACUGUAAUUUCAGUUUCUAUGAGCACCACUGCCACUUCAGUAGCCACGAUCACCAUCACCAUAUCCACCACGACCAUCGUCUCCAUAGCCACGGUCACGUCCACCUCCAUAGCCCCAGUCAUCGCCAUAACCUCCAUCACGUCGCCCAUAGCCUCCAUCACCGCCUCAACCCCCAUAACUUCACUCGGGAAGUCCGCCAUGGAAUCCACCAUUGCCGCCGGACUGAGCCUCGUUUACGUGAUUUUACGACCAUCAAGGUCUUGGCCAUUUAUCCCCUCAAUUUGCAGCACCCCAGAUCUACUGCGUUGCGCACGAGUACACUAUAUAUUUUUUAGUUUUCUUCCUCCACUGCCAUGGUAUCUGGUAGUUGCUAGAGAGAGAACGAGAGAAUGUAGAGGAUAGAGAGAGAGGAUUUUAGGGCUUGGGAGUGAAGUUGAGUGGUUGUGGGCGUGAGUGUGGGUGUGUUAAUUAGUUUAAAUUC
rnacentral:lncRNA from 1 species